UACAGAGGGUGCGAGCGUUGUCCGGAAUCACUGGGCGUAAAGGGCGCGUAGGUGGUGGCUUAAGCGUGCGGUGAAAGCUCGGGGCUCAACUCCGAGUCGGCCGUGCGAACUGGGCUCACUGGAGCAUAGUAGAGGCAGGUGGAAUUCCGGGUGUAGCGGUGGAAUGCGUAGAGAUCCGGAAGAACACCGGUGGCGAAGGCGGCCUGCUGGGCUAUGGCUGACACUGAGGCGCGACAGCGUGGGGAGCAAACCGG
rnacentral:rRNA from 1 species